UACAGGGGGGGCAAGCGUUGUUCGGAAUUACUGGGCGUAAAGGGUCUGUAGGUGGCCAACUAAGUCAGACGUGAAAUCCCUCAGCUUAACUGGGGAACUGCGUCUGAUACUGGAUGGCUCGAGUGUGGGAGAGGAAUGCGGAAUUCCAGGUGUAGCGGUGAAAUGCGUAGAUAUCUGGAGGAACACCGGUGGCGAAGGCGGCAUUCUGGACCACAACCGACACUGAGAGACGAAAGCCAGGGGAGCAAACGGG
rnacentral:rRNA from 1 species